AGCUCUCCGAGUGGUGUGGACGUUUAUUGGGCCUAAAGCAUCCGUAGCUUGCUGAAGAAGUCCUCUGUUAAACCCAACGAAUUAAUCGUUGGAGUGCGGGGGAUACUGCUCGGCUUGGAGGCGAUAGAGGCAGACGGUAUUCCCGGGGUAGGAGUGAAAUCCUAUAAUCCCGGGAAGACCACCAGUGGCGAAGGCUGUUUGCUAGAACGCGCUCGACGGUGAGGGAUGAAAGCUGGGGUAGCGAACCGGAUUAGAUACCCGAGUAGUCC
rnacentral:rRNA from 1 species